GAAGGGCCCCGCAGCCCAGGGACGCGGACAAGGGCCGGCACACGGACGCCGGGACCACGACCGCCUCAGGGCAGCGGGACGCGGACUCCACGGAGAAGCGACAGCUCGGGCGAAGGGGAGCGGCGGCAGGAGGAGGUGGAACUCUGCCGAGUCAGCACCGCGCCCACUCGGUGGCACUUGUGGGAACCCUGCGGCUGCCCGGCCGGGCCGCGGCUCAGGUCGGGCCCAGCGCCGGGAGCGGCGUCUGUGACGGGCUGGCGCCGGCCGCUCACCCGCCUCUCAGGUAAACACUGGGCGCCGCUUACCUCUGUUAACAUCAUUACACCCCGGGGGAGUGACGUCCUCCCUAGCCUCGCCGCAUGGCAACAGCCGUAGCAGCAGCGGAAACUGCCCGGGCCGCCGCCAACGGCGGCAACUGCUGCUUCAGUCCUGUCCCGGGCGGCGGCUUUACUCGGCUUCGCUGGCUUCCCCCCGGCCCGGCUGCUCGCGACGGACGCGCCGCCAUCUUGGAAGAGCGACGUCCGCGUCUCCCCGCGACGUGCGCUCCCAUUGGCUGGCGGGCCGGGCGCGAGCGUCUUGUGACUGUCUCCAUGGCGCCGGCGCGCGCAGGGACGGAGGCGGGGGUUGGGCCGCGCGCGAUCCGGGACCUCGGCUGCUGGCUGGAUCCUGGACCACGGAGGUGGCCGGUAAACGGGCUGGUGGCGCAGUGCAGACUGCGUGCUGGCGGAGAAACUUCCAUCGC
rnacentral:lncRNA from 1 species